rnacentral:rRNA from 1 species
AUUGAACGCUGGCGGCAUGCCUUACACAUGCAAGUCGAACGGUAACGCGGGGCAACCUGGCGACGAGUGGCGAACGGGUGAGUAAAGCAUAGGAACGUGCCCAGUAGUGGGGGACAGCCCGGCGAAAGCCGGAUUAAUACCGCACACGACCUAUGGGUGAAAGGGGGGGAUCGCAAGACCUCUCGCUAUGGGAGCGGCCGAUGUCAGAUUAGGUAGUUGGUGGGGUAAAGGAAUACCAAGCCGGCGAUCUGUAGCUUGUCUGAGAGUACGACCAGCCACACUGAGACUGGGACACGGCCCAGAUUCCUACGGGAGGCAGCAGUGGGGAAUUUUGAAAAAGGGGCGCAAGCCUGAUCCAGCCAUGCCGCGUGAGUGAAGAAGGCCUUCGGGUUGUAAAGCUCUGUCGUGCGGGACAAAAACACUAUGGGUUAACAGCCCAUGGAAUUGACGGUACCGCAAAAGGAAGCACCGGCUAACUUCGUGCCAGCCGCCGCCGUAA